rnacentral:rRNA from 1 species
UACGUAGGCAGCGAGCGUUGUUCGGAGUUACUGGGCGUAAAGGGUGUGUAGGCGGUUGUUUAAGUUUGGUGUGAAAUCUCCCGGCUCAACUGGGAGGGUGCGCCGAAUACUGAAUGACUUGGAGUGCGGGAGAGGAAAAGUGGAAUUCCUGGUGUAGCGGUGAAAUGCGUAGAUAUCAGGAGGAACACCGGUGGUGUAGACGGCUUUCUGGACCGUAACUGACGCUGAGACGCGAAAGCGUGGGGAGCAAACAGG